rnacentral:rRNA from 1 species
UACAGAGGUCCCAAGCGUUGUCCGGAAUCAUUGGGCGUAAAGCGCGUGUAGGCGGCCCGGUAAGUCCGCUAUGAAAGUCGGGGGCUCAACCCUCGAAUGCCGGUGGAUACUGUCGGGCUAGAGUGCGGAAGAGGCGAGUGGAAUUCCUGGUGUAGCGGUGAAAUGCGUAGAGAUCGGAAAGAACACCAACGGCGAAAGCACUCUGCUGGGCCGACACUGACACUGAGAGACGAAAGCUAGGGGAGCGAAUGGG